GCAAAAGGAAACACAGACAAAAACAGUGAGAAGGAGAGAGAGCAUGUGGGGCUUUGCCAGAGAGGAACUUGGAUGGCAAUCACCUAAGAACUCCAAACUCAGUGCCAGGGCAGACUGGUGUCUAUUUUGCAAUGUCUUCCAGUAGUUGAUAACUUUCUACUUUUAAAAUAAUUGGAAGAAUGUAAGCUCUCAACUAGUCCACUAGUCCCGAAACAAUAGAUACCAGCUGGCAGAGAUAAUAGCUGUCUGGAAGAGAGAGAUACAUACCACAUCAAAAAACAACAAAAAAAGGAUGGCUCAAGUACUCAAAAGGCAGCACUAAAAUAAGGCUAUGUCUCUUCCUGAGAAUACUCUGGACUUCAUUCUCUGAUUAAAGAUCACAACUGCUUCUUCGUUGAGGAAAUCAUGUAUUUCAAAGCCACCAAUGAACAAGGUUUGCAUUUGUGUUCAUUUAAGAAAAGAAAAAAACCCUGAGCAAACCUUUCUCUGUGCAUUAAGCCUUCUGACCUUUAUUGAAAUAACAAAACAGUUAUUCAAAGGACACGAGGAUGAAUUAAAGAAUGACAAUCCAUGAAUUACACAGUAAACAAAUACUAUAUGUAUGAGACCGAUUCACUGUCACAAACCUGGAGAAGAAAACCCUUUUGAGGUUUAAAGCUGAGAGGGAGAUAAAAACUUGGUUGUACUACUUCUGGGAAAUGCUGAAGUUAUCCACGUGAUUUUCCAGUCACUGAUUAUUUUAGCAAAGUAACACAAACAGAGGAGGAGCUCUGGACUCUAGCUUCUCAUUUCUAAAAGAACAGAUGUAAUGGGAUGUAUUGGUCCAGCACUGAUAACAGGUUAUCCUACAAUCAAGUAUACUCUUUCCAGAAAGCUGAGUUAGGUAUGCAACUGCCUUUCUAAGCCAUGACUACAUUGCUAAAUGAAUCAUUGAUUUGGAAAAUCUGAAGUGACCUUCAGCUUGUUCUCCAGCUCUUCCUCAACAGAAAAGAGAGGCAAAAUCAGCAAAAUAUUGGAAAGAGCUAACUCACUGGUGACCCAGCACUUUGGGAGGAUGAGGAGGGUGGAUCACAAGGUCAGGAGUUCGAGACCAGCCUGGCCAACAUGAUGAAACCCCGUCUCUACUAAAAAUACAAAAAUUAGCCAGGCGUGGUGGCAUGCACCUGUAUUCCCAGCUACUUGGGACACUGAGGCAGGAGACUUGCUUGAACCCGGGAGGCAGAGGUUGCAGUGAGCCAAGAUCGUGCCACUGCACUCCAGCCUGGGCGACAGAGUGAGACUCCAUCUCAAAAAUAAGUAAAUGAAUAAAUAAAAAUAAAAUAGAUUGAGCCUCCACAUUUUGCAUGCAGCUUUCUUGGUGCUUGUCCUUCUCCUGUGCUUACUCAAAGAUGGGACAUUGUGCACAAUGAGAAGAGUAUUGGGACCAGUAAGGAAGAAUGAGUCAGAUAUUGUGGGACCUCUUUUUUUGUUGUUUUUUUUUGCUCCCAGAAAUCUUUGAGAUUUUAACCUGAAUGGAAAAGACAAUAUGAGGGUGAUGAAAGACUCUAGAUGGUCCGUCUUGGUCUUUGAAAGAUGCUGGAAUAUAUGCCUGCUUGGCCAAUUAGUCCCCAAUAACUCUUCAGUGCCAUAGUACUGUGUGUAGAGAAAACCUCAAUGAAAAGAAAAUGGACAAUCAAGCUGGAUAAAAUACAUCCCUUAAAUGAGAACUACGCUAUGUGAAAAAAAAAUAGAAGAACAAGUCCUCAGCAAGUCAAUGAUCAUAAGAAAAACAGUUAUAUUGACUAGUUAUUUUGUGUGUUUGAUGUACAAUAUGGAGAAAUAUUAGUAGCCAAAUGAAUGUGACACAUUGACACAGAUGCAUUGUAAAUAUUAUGCUAUUGAGACCAUAGAUUCAGUUACAUUCCUCUGAUGAAUGUGGAUGCUUUCAUUUCCUGUUUUAGAAGGCAACUAACCUGAUUAAUAUCAAACUGCAAGCUCUGCCUUGUUUGCAGUAGGUGACUGCUCAAAUUGUAGUUAUUUUAGCCUCAGCUCUGAGAUAAUUUGUUUCUGUCCUGUUUUUCCCCCAACAAGUAUGGUUCAAGGUUCACAUACAGACUUGGCCAGAGUUCAUAUGCAGACUUUUAACUGCCUUCUUCCCAGGAUUUCCUCUCCAUUUUUGGGGUGGGUGGGCAGUGGGGUGCUGUGGUUGCACUGGGUCCUGUCAUCUGGUUCUUACCAACACAAAAUAUGAAGGUUUUUAAAGGAGUUUCAGUUAUUCUAAUUAUCCUGUACCUUAAGUUGUCUUUCUAAUACCUAGUGCUGGUUUCUUCUAAAUGUCAAAUCUCUUACAAAAACUGUUCUGUCUCAGGAAUUGUGUGUGUGUGAUUGUGCAUAUUCAGACUUUAUAGUUGUUACCUGCAUGACUGUC
rnacentral:lncRNA from 1 species